GAUUGGGUCCUGUGCAAACAGUGCCCGUGAACCGAGUCAGGGUCGGAAGGCAGCAGCUCUCAGCGGAACCACUGUUGUGCCGCAGAUCACCUAAUCGUC
rnacentral:SRP_RNA from 1 species